GUCUUCCCUUUUCACCCACGGAGCAACACCCAUGGUUUCCCUUCUUCCUCAAACCAACACACCCAGCCGCAGCAGCAGAUCAUUCCCCAUUUCCCCAAUAGAUCGCAACACUCAUGGCUUCCCAUUGCCAUGAAAGAAACCGACACAGAAGCAAAGAGGGAGAGUGUGAGUCACGGCGGAGGAGAGGAGGAGGGCUCUCACCGUCGCGCCACCACUGUGCCAUGGAGAAGAGAAAAACUCGUGCCGCUUUUGCCACUGUUGAUCCAUCGAAGCUGGCGCGGGAGAAGAGGAGGGUAGGGGUGCUGUCUUGCGCCGUCGCCGUCGUGCCUGGGAGCUGCGGCUGCAAGCUCACGGUGCCGUCGUCGCCUUGCCGUCGCGGAGGGGAAAGCUCAGGAGAGAGAGAGAUUGAGAGGGAGACAGAGAGCCCGAGAGCCAAAGAAGGGGAGGAAGGCUGCUGUCACCGCCGUUGUUGGGCUGCUGUCGCCGUUCCUCCAGAAUUGCCACCGUUGGGUCGCUGUGAAGAAGGUUCCGCUGCUGCGAUGCCGCUGCUACCGUGGCUGUCGCAGUGUUCACCGCGUUCUUGGUCACCGCCGGCUGUUCUGAUGCUGUCAAGGGGUUCAGGUCGCCGCCGGUGUCGCUGCCAGAGAAGGGAGCUACAUCUCCGUGAUUUUGACCGCUAAGGGUGGUUCUGUGACUUCUGGAAUUACCGCCGGAGCUUCUGGCUAUUUUGUCAUCGCCGGAAAAGGCUAUCGGUAUGGGUUUUAUGUUGGUUCUCCCUUCCGUUGAGUUUUUUGGGAACCUCAUUGUCGCUGCAUAUGGUUCAGGUCAUCGCUGCCGCUUGAGGUGGCUACCGGGCUGCCGCCGAACCGGUUCGGAGGCCGCCACUGUUCCGGUUCAGCCGCUCCUUCGUUCGAGUUGUUGAGACUGUUGCGAAAAUGGCUUGGAACCGAGGUUUUGGUUGCCGGGAUUUCGAUUGUUGAUUUCGGGUUGAGGCGGAAAGGACUUGAUGAAGCGUUUGGGUUAUGGAAUUUGUGUUUUGAGGAUUUGGGCGCAGAAGUUAUGAAGAGUUUAAUUAUUUGUUAUUGAGUUGCUCUGUAGUGCUUUAGAUUAUUAUUUUUGUACCCUCGCCUUUAUCUUGAUAUAUUCUAUAAGAGGGAUAGGAAUUGUAUUGGUUAAUGUUUGUAAUAUUACUUAUAUAUAUGUAUGUAAAUAUAUAUGGU